rnacentral:misc_RNA from 1 species
AACGCACAUUGCGCCCGCCAGCACUCUGGCGGGCAUGCCUGUCCGAGCGUCGCUUCAACCCUCGAGGCCCGCGCCGCCCUCCCUCCCCCGCCCCCCGGCGGCGGCGGGCGGCGCGGCGCGGGCCCGGUGUUGGGGGACGGCCCAGCGCCGCCCCCGAAAUGCAGUGGCGAACCCGCCGCGGCCUCCCCUGCGCAGUAAGCACACGCCCUCGCACCGGAGCCCGGACGCGGUCCACGCCGUAAAACGCCCCGACCCCCCAGCGAGUCGACCUCGGAUCAGGUAGGAGUACCCGCUGAACUUAA